rnacentral:rRNA from 1 species
GAUGAACGCUGGCGGCGUGCCUAAUACAUGCAAGUCGAGCGAACAGACGAGGAGCUUGCUCCUCAGACGUUAGCGGCGGACGGGUGAGUAACACGUGGAUAACCUACCUAUAAGACUGGGAUAACUUCGGGAAACCGGAGCUAAUACCGGAUAAUAUAUUGAACCGCAUGGUUUAAUAGUGAAAGACGGUUUUGCUGUCACUUAUAGAUGGAUCCGCGCCGCAUUAGCUAGUUGGUAAGGUAACGGCUUACCAAGGCAACGAUGCGUAGCCGACCUGAGAGGGUGAUCGGCCACACUGGAACUGAGACACGGUCCAGACUCCUACGGGAGGCAGCAGUAGGGAAUCUUCCGCAAUGGGCGAAAGCCUGACGGAGCAACGCCGCGCGAGUGAUGAAGGUCUUCGGAUCGUAAAACUCUGUUAUUAGGGAAGAACAAAUGUGUAAGUAACUAUGCACGUCUUGACGGUACCUAAUCAGAAAGCCACGGCUAACUACGUG